rnacentral:rRNA from 1 species
GCUGGCGGCGUGCUAACACAUGCAAGUCGAACGGGAAAACAGGGGCAACUCUGUGAGUACAGUGGCGUACGGGUGAGUAACACGUGACUACCUACCCUCGAGUGGGGGAUAACCCCGGGAAACCGGGGCUAAUACCGCAUAACAUCGCAAGAUCAAAGGAGCAAUUCGCUUGAGGAGGGGGUCGCGGCUGAUUAGCUAGUUGGUGAGGUAACGGCCCACCAAGGCGAUGAUCGGUAGCCGGCCUGAGAGGGCGCACGGCCACACUGGAACUGAAACACGGUCCAGACUCCUACGGGAGGCAGCAGUGGGGAAUUUUGCGCAAUGGGGGAAACCCUGACGCAGCAACGCCGCGUGGAGGAUGAAGUCCCUUGGGACGUAAACUCCUUUCGACCCGGACGAUAAUGACGGUACGGGUGGAAGAAGCACCGGCUAACUUCGUGCCAGCAGCCGCGGUAAUACGAGGGGUGCGAGCGUUGUUCGGAAUUAUUGGGCGUAAAGGGCGCGUAGGCGGUGCGGUAAGUCACCUGUGAAAUCUCCCGGCUCAACUGGGAGCUUGCAGGCGAA